AGUGAACGCUGGCGGUAGGCCUAACACAUGCAAGUCGAACGGCAGCACAGUAAGAGCUUGCUCUUACGGGUGGCGAGUGGCGGACGGGUGAGGAAUACAUCGUAAUCUACUUUUUCGUGGGGGAUAACGUAGGGAAACUUACGCUAAUACCGCAUACGACCUACGGGUGAAAGCAGGGGAUCUUCGGACCUUGCGCGAUUGAAUGAGCCGAUGUCGGAUUAGCUAGUUGGCGGGGUAAAGGCCCACCAAGGCGACGAUCCGUAGCUGGUCUGAGAGGAUGGUCGGCCACACUGGAACUGAGACACGGUCCAGACUCCUGCGGGAGGCAGCAGUGGGGAAUAUUGGACAAUGGGCGCAAGCCUGAUCCAGCCAUACCGCGUGGGUGACGAAGGCCUUCGGGUUGUAAAGCCCUUUUGUUGGGAAAGAAAAGCAGCAGGUUAAUACCCCGCUGUUCUGACGGUACCCAAAGAAUAAGCACCGGCUAACUUCGUG
rnacentral:rRNA from 1 species